AUACGUAGGGUGCGAGCGUUGUCCGGAAUUACUGGGCGUAAAGAGCUAGUAGGUGGUUUGUCGCGUCGUCUGUGAAAUUCCGGGGCUUAACUCCGGGCGUGCAGGCGAUACGGGCAUAACUUGAGUACUGUAGGGGAGACUGGAAUUCCUGGUGUAGCGGUGAAAUGCGCAGAUAUCAGGAGGAACACCGGUGGCGAAGGCGGGUCUCUGGGCAGUAACUGACGCUGAGGAGCGAAAGCAUGGGUAGCGAACAGGAUUAGAUACCCUGGUAGUCCAUGCCGUAAACGGUGGGCGCUAGGUGUAGGGGUCUUCCACGACUUCUGUGCCGUAGCUAACGCAUUAAGCGCCCCGCCUGGGGAGUACGGCCGCAAGGCUAAAACUCAAAGGAAUUGACGGGG
rnacentral:rRNA from 1 species